UACGAAGGGGGCGAGCGUUGUUCGGAUUUACUGGGCGUAAAGGGCGCGCAGGCGGCGGACCAAGUCAGGCGUGAAAGCCCCGGGCUCAACCUGGGAACUGCGUUUGGGACUGGUUUGCUAGAGAUCGGGAGAGGAGAGUGGAAUUCCCAGUGUAGAGGUGAAAUUCGUAGAUAUUGGGAAGAACACCGGUGGCGAAGGCGGCUCUCUGGACCGAUACUGACGCUGAGGCGCGAAAGCGUGGGGAGCAAACAGG
rnacentral:rRNA from 1 species